rnacentral:lncRNA from 1 species
AGAAGUUCAAAAUCAAAGAAAACAACCAGCAUAUCCAUUCACCACACCAUAACUACUGAAGUGAAUACCUUAUUAAAUCUUCAUAACUGGACAGAAAUCGCGGAGGAGAGGUGACACUGAAACAGAUCGAUGCAGAGAGGAGUCAGUGAGACGGAGAAAAACAUGACUGAAAGUGAGGAGAUGGAGAAAGGCAACAAGAUGAGGACGGAACGAGAGAAAGAAAGACAAAGAGAAAUAGAGGGGCUGCAUAGAAUGAGAAAGGAGAUUGAGACUUGUAACAAGGUAGACCACAACCGAUGGAAGCUGGAGAGAGAGGUGUUGGAGAAAGUCACCAAGGUGAGGGUGGAACCAGAGAAAGAAAGAGAAAGGCUAAUUGAAGAGUUGCUGAGGCAGAGAAGGGUGACUGAGGCUUCUAUUGAGGUACACCUCAACCAACGGAAGCUAGAGAGAGAGUUGUUUGAGAAACAGAGAGAAAGCGUAGUGUCAGACAGAAAGAAGAUGGAGCUCAAGAUGGAAAAGCUGAAGGUGCAGAACAUACUGAACUUGGCCAAGAGAGGAGAGGUGACAGUGGAGAGUACUAAGCUGUUAGCUGAGAAUGAAAGGGAGAGAGAGAUGUUGAAGAAACAGAGAGAAAGCUUAGAGGCAGACAAAGAAAAUCUAGAAGUCAAGAUGACAAAGGUGACGAUGCAGAACAUACUGCACUUGGCCAGGAUAGGGAAGUUGACCGUGGAGAACACGAGGCUGUUAGCAGAGAAUGAAAGGCAGCGAGACGUGUUGGUCAAACACAGAGAAAGCGCAGCGGCCGACAGACAAACGUUGGUGGACAAGAUGUCAAAGGUGAACAUGUCCUUGGCCAAGUUAUGGAAGUUGAGAGUGGAGAACAAGAAGAGACUGUUAGCUGAGAAUGAAAGGGUGGUGAAGGAGAGGGUGAGAGAGAGGAAUGGAUGGAACCUCAUAAGAAAUGGUUUGAAGACAGAUUUGGCCAAAGCAGACCUGGAGAGGAAACAGACCUUAGUAGGCUGGAAGGAGGACAGGGGGAGAUGGGCCAAGGCCAAGGCUAGCCUACAAAGAAUCUGGGAUCAACAGGGGGAAAGAUGGAUGAAGGAGAAGGAGGAGAUUAAUAGAAGGAGCACACAGGCAGCAGAGGAGUGGAUGAUUGAACUGAGAGAAAAGGAGAGAGCGAUAGAGGCUUUGGAAAGAGAAAAGAUGAGGAUUCUUUGCCUGCAUGGACAAGAGAAGAAGGGAUGGGAGAUGGAAAAGAGAGUGAUGGAAAAGGAGAAGUUGGAGAUUACAGGGGAGCGGGAGAGAACGAAUAGUGAAAUUGAGAAAAUGCAAAGGGAGAAAGACAGAUGUGCAAUAGAGAAGAAAGAUAUGGUGGAGAGGAUGAAGGAGGCAUACAUAAAGCUGUACCAGAUGCAGACUGCCCUGAGGUUCGGAGAGCAAGAGCAGCCACAGAAGGAAACUAAAACUGCCCAGAGAGUCAGGGCAAAGCUCGAGAAAAAGAAGAGGAAAGAAAGAGAGAUGUUGGAGAAGAACAACGUGAAAGAGCUGCUCAGAGCUAGAAAAGCAGAGAGUAAGGAAGAAGUGAGGAAGAAUAAGGAGAGGGUGAAAGCCCACCUGGACGAGGUGUCAAGGAACUAUAACGAAAAGAAACAGAGGGAGAAGGAAAGAGAAAAGCUGUUGAACAAGGCACAUGGCAAAGAAAAUCACAUGGCGUACAUCCCAGACAUCAAACUGAAGAUGUCAGAAUGCAACACAGAUGGAAAAGUAAAUACUCUCAGCUGGCAUUGGUCCAAAUUUAAAUUGUCUUCUUUCAUUUAGUGGAAUACAUCAUCAAUAAAAUAUUAUGAGCAUUUGAGUUAUUUGUCAGUAUUCAUUGCCAUAUGGGAAGAAAGAACACACAAAAUCUAAGAAAAGUAUAAGAUACGGAUUAAAGGUUGAUGUGGUUACUGUAUAAUGCAAUGUGAAAGGAUAGAUUCUAUCAGAUCGGAGGUGGAACUGCGUUAAAGAGGUCAAAUCCACAAGCAGCGCAUUGCAUUAGCUUAUCGCGUACACUGCCAUUGGAUGCAACGAGAGAGAGAGAGAGAGAGAGAGAGAGAGAGAGAGGCACCUGGGCUCUGUAUCAGACUGAGCUUAAUAAAUACAUAGCGAACAGGCCACUAAUACUGCUGCUGUGAACAUGUCCAACAGCAACACUUACAACCUGGACAUUUCUGAUUAUGAGUGCUGCUUGCCACAUGGUAUCGUAGGAAAUAUGUUAAUGAUACAGCUACUAUCUCUGUAAAUUACCAAUACAUACAGUACCAGUCAAAAGAUUGAACACAUUCAAGGGUUUUUCUUUAUUUUGACUAUUUUCUACAUUGUAGAAUAAUAGUGAAGACAUCAAAAUUAUGAAAUCAAAAAUAUGGAAUCAUGUAGUAACCAAAAAAG